rnacentral:rRNA from 1 species
AUGAACGCUGGCGGCGUGCCUAAUACAUGCAAGUCGAGCGAACAGACGAGGAGCUUGCUCCUCUGACGUUAGCGGCGGACGGGUGAGUAACACGUGGAUAACCUACCUAUAAGACUGGGAUAACUUCGGGAAACCGGAGCUAAUACCGGAUAAUAUAUUGAACCGCAUGGUUCAAUAGUGAAAGACGGGUUUGCUGUCACUUAUAGAUGGAUCCGCGCCGCAUUAGCUAGUUGGGAAGGUAACGGCUUACCAAGGCAACGAUGCGUAGCCGACCUGAGAGGGUGAUCGGCCACACUGGAACUGAGACACGGUCCAGACUCCUACGGGAGGCAGCAGUAGGGAAUCUUCCGCAAAGGGCGAAAGCCUGACGGAGCAACGCCGCGUGAGUGAUGAAGGUCUUCGGAUCGUAAAACUCUGUUAUCAGGGAAGAACAAAUGUGUAAGUAACUAUGCACGUCUUGACGGUACCUAAUCAGAAAGCCACGGCUAACUACGUG